CCUACGGGGGGCAGCAGUCGAGAAUUUUUCACAAUGGGCGAAAGCCUGAUGGAGCGACGCCGCGUGGGGGAUGAAGGGCUUCGGCUCGUAAACCCCUGUCAUUCGAGAACAAACCUCGCAACCUAACACGUUGCGGGCUGAUAGUAUCGGAAGAGGAAGGGACGGCUAACUCUGUGCCAGCAGCCGCGGUAAUACAGAGGUCCCAAGCGUUGUUCGGAUUUACUGGGCGUAAAGGGUGCGUAGGCGGUGAGGAAAGUUUGAGGUGAAAUCUCCAG
rnacentral:rRNA from 1 species